rnacentral:rRNA from 1 species
AGGACGAACGCUGGCGGCGCGCUUAACACAUGCAAGUCGAGCGAGAACCAGGACUUCGGUCCUGAGGACAGCGGCGAACGGGUGAGUAACACGUGGGUAAUCUGCCCUCGAUUCUGGGAUAGCCCGGGGAAACCCGGAUUAAUACCGGAUAGCCUUCUGAGCCUUCGGGCGAGGAAGAAAAGGUAGCUUCGGCCUCCGAUCGAGGAUGAGCCCGCGGUGGAUUAGCUUGUUGGCGGGGUAAUGGCCCACCAAGGCGACGAUCCAUAGCUGGUCUGAGAGGACGAUCAGCCACACUGGGACUGAGACACGGCCCAGACUCCUACGGGAGGCAGCAGUGGGGAAUCUUGCGCAAUGGGCGAAAGCCUGACGCAGCGACGCCGCGUGGGGGAAGAAGGCCUUAGGGUUGUAAACCUCUUUUCUCGAGGGAAGAUAAUGACGGUACCUGAGGAAUAAGCCACGGCUAACUACGUGCCAGCAGCCGC